rnacentral:siRNA from 1 species
AAGAAGACCAUCAAUGAAAUUCAC